rnacentral:rRNA from 1 species
GACGAACGCUGGCGGCGUGCUUAACACAUGCAAGUCGAACGGAAAGGCCCUGCUUUUGUGGGGUGCUCGAGUGGCGAACGGGUGCGUAACACGUGAGUAACCUGCCCUUGACUUUGGGAUAACUUCAGGAAACUGGGGCUACUACCGGAUAGGAGCUCCUGCUGCAUGGUGGGGGUUGGAAAGUUUCGGCGGUUGGGGAUGGACUCGCGGCUUAUCAGCUUGUUGGUGGGGUAGUGGCUUACCAAGGCUUUGACGGGUAGCCGGCCUGAGAGGGUGACCGGCCACAAUGGGACUGAGAUACGGCGCAGACUCCUACGGGAGGCAGCAGUGGGGAAUAUUGCACAAUGGGCGGAAGCCUGAUGCAGCAACGCCGCGUGCGGGAUGACGGCCUUCGGGGUGUAAACCGCUUUCGCCUGUGACGAAGCGUGAGUGACGGUAAUGGGUAAAGAAGCACCGGCUAACUACGUG